AGGACGAACGCUGGCGGCGUGCUUAACACAUGCAAGUCGAGCGGAAAGGCCCUUCGGGGUACUCGAGCGGCGAACGGGUGAGUAACACGUGAGCAACCUGCCCCUAGCUUCGGGAUAGCUCCGGGAAACCGGAAUUAAUACCGAAUAUGACCAUGGACGACAUCAGCCAUGGUGGAAAGUUUUUCGGCUAGGGAUGGACUCGCGGCCUAUCAGCUAGUUGGUGAGGUAACGGCCCACCAAGGCGUCGAUCGGUAGCUGGUCUGAGAGGACGAUCAGCCACACUGGGAUUGAGAACGGCCCAGACUCCUACGGGGGGCAGCAGUGAGGAAUUUUCGGCAAUGGGGGAAACCCUGACCGAGCAACGCCGCGUGCAGGAAGACGGCCUUCGGGUUGUAAACUGCUUUCUUUGGGUACGAGCAAGGACGGUACCAGAGGAAUCAGCCCCGGCUCACUACGUGCCAGCAGCCGC
rnacentral:rRNA from 1 species